rnacentral:rRNA from 1 species
AGUGAACGCUGGCGGUAGGCCUAACACAUGCAAGUCGAACGGCAGCACAGUAAGAGCUUGCUCUUACGGGUGGCGAGUGGCGGACGGGUGAGGAAUACAUCGGAAUCUACUUUUUCGUGGGGGAUAACGUAGGGAAACUUACGCUAAUACCGCAUACGACGUACGGGUGAAAGCAGUGGAUCUUCUGACCUUGCGCGAUUGAAUGAGCCGAUGUCGGAUUAGCUAGUUGGCGGGGUAAAGGCCCACCAAGGCGACGAUCCGUAGCUGGUCUGAGAGGAUGAUCAGCCACACUGGAACUGAGACACGGUCCAGACUCCUACGGGAGGCAGCAGUGGGGAAUAUUGGACAAUGGGCGCAAGCCUGAUCCAGCCAUACCGCGUGGGUGAAGAAGGCCUUCGGGUUGUAAAGCCCUUUUGUUGGGAAAGAAAAGCAGCAGGUUAAUACCCCGCUGUUCUGACGGUACCCAAAGAAUAAGCACCGGCUAACUUCGUG